UGUAGUCAUAUGCUUGUCUCAAAGAUUAAGCCAUGCAUGUCUAAGUAUAAGCAAUUUAUACCGUGAAACUGCGAAUGGCUCAUUAAAUCAGUUAUCGUUUAUUUGAUAGUACCUUACUACUUGGAUAACCGUGGUAAUUCUAGAGCUAAUACAUGCAGAAGCCCCGACUCCGGGAGGGGUGUAUUUAUUAGAUUAAGAACCAACGCCCUCCGGGGCUCCUUGGUGAUUCAUGAUAACUCGUCGAAUCGCACGGCCUUGCGCCGGCGAUGGUUCAUUCAAAUUUCUGCCCUAUCAACUUUCGACGGCUGGGUCUUGGCCAGCCGUGGUGACAACGGGUAACGGAGGGUUAGGGCUCGACCCCGGAGAAGGAGCCUGAGAGACGGCUACUACAUCCAAGGAAGGCAGCAGGCGCGCAAAUUACCCAAUCCCGACGCGGGGAGGUAGUGACAAUAAAUACUGAUACAGGGCUCUUUUGGGUCUUGUAAUUGGAAUGAGUACAAUUUAAACCCCUUAACGAGGAACAAUUGGAGGGCAAGUCUGGUAAUCG
rnacentral:rRNA from 1 species